AUUGAACGCUGGCGGCAGGCCUAACACAUGCAAGUAGAACGAGUGGCGGACGGGUGGGUAAUGUCUGGGAAACUGCCUGAUGGAGGGGGAUAACUACUGGAAACGGUAGCUAAUACCGCAAACCAUCAGAUGUGCCCAAAUGGGAUGUGCUUGUUGGUGGGGUAACGGCUCACAAAGGCGAAGAUCCCUAGCUGGUCUGAGAUGAUGACCAGCCACACUGGAACUGAGACACGGUCCAGAAUCCUACGGGAGGCAGCAGUGGGGAAUAGUGCACAAUGGGCGCAAGCCUGAGGCAGCCAUGCCGCGUGUAUGAAGAAGGCCUUCGGGUUGUAAAGUACUUGCAGCGGGGAGGCGUUACCCGCAGAAGAAGCACCGGCUAACUCCGUGCCAGCAGCCGCGGUAAUAC
rnacentral:rRNA from 1 species